AGAUUGAACGCUGGCGGCAGGCCUAACACAUGCAAGUCGAGCGGCAGCACGGGUACUUGUACCUGGUGGCGAGCGACGGACGGGUGAGUAAUGCCUAGGAAUCUGCCUGAUAGUGGGGGAUAACGUUCGGAAACGGACGCUAAUACCGCAUACGUCCUACGGGAGAAAGUGGGGGAUCUUCGGACCUCACGCUAUCAGAUGAGCCUAGGUCGGAUUAGCUA
rnacentral:rRNA from 1 species